UCAACUCUCCCGUGCAUCUCUUUCUUCCUCUCUCCCUCUCUCCCUCAAACUCUCGUCUCUCUCUCUCUCUCCUUGGACUCUCGAGGACCUUAGCACCACUAGGAGAGACUCUCCACGAACCAGGACCCCUCUGCCCGCGAGAUUGACGACACGGAGCAAAGCUCCGGUGGGCUUUCCUUCCCUUUUUCGUUGGAGUUUUUGCUUCGGAACCGUUGUGGGUGAGCACACCCAUUUUCCGGCGAACAGUGGACCUUGGGAGCUUUUUCCGGUUACCUUCGACCGAGUUACGGUGUUUGGAAGGUAAAGUUGCUAGUGGAGAAAUUCUAUAUCCUUAUUCGCGCGAUUCUUCUGCUAAGGAAUAUUUGUGAGUGGACAAUUUCUAAAAUUACAUGAUUUUAUAGUAAUUGCAUAAAUGAUUAGCAUGCCUACGAAUUUAUGAUUUGAUUUAUGUGAAGCCUAAUGAUUUAAGAUAUUGAUUAGCGUCUUGUGUUUUGGUGAGGAAUUAAUUGUUUACCUAUAUUGAACUAUAUUUUAAUAUAUCGUAUUUUCUAUAAAAAUCAUGAACUGGUAGACUAUUCGAUGGAUAACGAUAGGAUGCUAGAACAUGUUUUGGAAACCCCUCUUAUAGUAUAGACGAUGGAUGACUUUAUACUAUGAAGUGGUUAUUUAUGAGAGGCGUAACUUGAAACACCCCAACCCCAUUUUAUUUAAAAAUUGUUUUAAAGCCUUAAUUGGUGAGCUUGUGGGGCCCACCUUGUUUUAUUUUUCUUGUGUUUUUCCAGUCUCUCUCUCUCUCUCUUCUUUUCUCUAUCUCUUCCGUGCUCUUUCUCAGCACUCCCUCCUUCUCCCCGUGAACCAAAACCACACACCCUCACUUCCACACCACCAUCAUCUCUGGAACUUUCUUCUCUCUCCCCUGUCUCGGCGAAGCUUCGGGACACCCAGAGAACACCCAAGUUCCCCCCAACGACUCCGACGACUUUCGAGGCCAUUUCCGGCCAAACCACGGCGAGUUGGCCGGCGUGCAAGUUUCCGGCGAGUCCGACGGCUUUCGAGGAAUUUUCCGGCCAAACCAUGGCGAGUUAGACGUCAUGUGAGGUAUCAUUCUCUUCGUCUCUUCGAGGGCUACAACUUUCGUUUUUGUCUUGCUUGAUUUCGUUGUGUAGUGACAAAGUUAUAGCCGUUUAAAGUUAGGUGGUUUUCCGACCGAAUUUUCGGCCUUCUCUGUCUCGGCAAAACCAGGCCACCGGCCUUCCUUUUCCUUUCCCCUUGGGCCUUAAGCCCGUUAAAACCCCCCAGCCCUUUAGUUCUUUUUUUUGGGUUAAACUCAGUUUACUACCCUCAAGUUUCGUGGUUUUCAACAUUUAGUACAUCAAGUUUUUUUCG